UACGUAGGCAGCAAGCGUUGUUCGGAGUUACUGGGCGUAAAGAGUGUGUAGGCGGUUUGCCAAGUUUGGUGUGAAAUCUCCCGCUUAACUGGGAGGUGCGCCGAAUACUGGCAGGCUAGAGUAUGGGAGAGGGAAGCGGAAUUCCUGGUGUAGCGGUGAAAUGCGUAGAUAUCGGGAGGAACACCAGUGGCGAAGGCGGUUACCUGGAGCUUUGCUGACGCUGAUGCGCGAAAGCGUGGGGAGCGAACGGG
rnacentral:rRNA from 1 species